UACGAAGGGGGCAAGCGUUGUUCGGAAUUACUGGGCGUAAAGGGCGCGUAGGCGGCCGAUCAAGUCAGGCGUGAGAUUCCCGGGCUCAACCUGGGGGCUGCGCUUGAUACUGAUUGGCUUGAAUGCGGGAGAGGAUAGUGGAAUUCCCAGUGUAGAGGUGAAAUUCGUAGAUAUCAGGAGGAACACCGGUGGCGAAGGCGGUUCUCUGGGAAUGUCCUGACGCUGAGGAGCGAAAGUGUGGGGAGCGAACAGG
rnacentral:rRNA from 1 species